GGGAAAUCUUACCAGGUCCAGAGGUACUGAGGAUUGACAGGUUGUUAUGAGGUUUUCUCUUUUUUCGGAAAGAUAAAAACUCAUAUUAAAUAUGCUAGUCCUUUCAUGAUUGUAUCAUAGGUGGUGCAUGGCCGUUCUUAGUUCGUGGAGUGAUCUGUCUGCUUAAUUGCGUUUCACUAAUUUUGGAGAUGUAACGAAUACUUUGUUUGCACACAAAGUCGCUGCUUUUAUACUUAUAUUCUUAUAAGUAUAUUUGCACCUUUGUUGUUGCACAGUAUUCUUAAACAUAUCUCCUGAAGGCAACGA
rnacentral:rRNA from 1 species